GCCCGCUUGGCUAAGUGGUAUAGCGUGUCACUAGUACUCGGUGUUUGCAAUCUCGAUUGCGUUCCCCUCUAGAUGCCAUGACAAGAUCAGCGGUUCGAUUCCGCUAGUGGGCA